rnacentral:rRNA from 1 species
CGCAUCUGUGCAUGCAGCAUAUCAAUAAGCGGAGGAAAAGAAACUAACAAGGAUUCCCCUAGUAACGGCGAGUGAAGCGGGAAGAGCUCAAAUUUGAAAUCUUAAAGGGUUUCCCUUUACGAAUUGUAGUUUAAAGAAGUGUUUUCUGUUGAGGUUUUGGUAAAAGUUCUUUGGAAUAGGACAUCAUAGAGGGUGAGAAUCCCGUAUUUGACCUUUACUUUCAACUUUGUGAUACACUUUCAAAGAGUCGGAUUGUUUGGGAAUGCAGUCCAAAAUGGGUGGUAAAUUUCAUCUAAAGCUAAAUAUUGGCGAGAGACCGAUAGCGAACAAGUACCGUGAGGGAAAGAUGAAAAGAACUUUGAAAAGAGAGUUAAACAGUACGUGAAAUUGUCAAAAGGGAAGCGUUUGACACCAGUGUUGUUUUUCUGAAAAUCAAUUAAAGAACUGUUUAUGCUAAGCUGUUUAGACUUUAUCAGCUAUCUGUUUAGUUUUGAGCUUUUCUUUAAUGCACUUUUCAGUUAACAAGUCAACAUCAAUUUCUUUUGCUGUAAAAAAGCUUGAGGAAGGUGGCUUGAGAUUCGUCUUAAGUGUUUAUAGCCUCUUGCCUAUGCAGUCGGAGAGAUUGAGGUCUGCAGCGUAGAUCCUUCGGGGCUAAAUGCAUUUGUGCUAAGUUAUAGCAUUUUAUAGACAACUUGUUGACUAUGAUUUGUCUUGUAGCUUACUCGCUUAUGUUAUUUUACCUACGCUUAGGAUGUUGAGUCAUCACACAUCUCU